rnacentral:rRNA from 1 species
AUGACAGAUGCAUUGGAUGAGUCAACACCUGGACAAAAAUUUGAUGAGGUUGUGAAUGAAGAGAAUGAUCCGUCGGCAGAUUGGGACCAACACUUGAAAAAGAAGCAACGCGAAACUGCUAGCGAGCUUGCCAGAUACUUAGAAGAAGACACAUUCAGUCGCACGGAUGAUUUCAACAUUCUUCAAUGGCGGCAUCUUCACUCAUCUAAGUUGAUGAGGACAUCAAUACCAUCGUUACACCCACAGCCCCUACUGUUACAUAUACUGGACCAAUUACUAGAGCUCGCGCACGCCAAUUAA